rnacentral:rRNA from 1 species
UAUUGUUCGCCAGAGAACUACAAGCGCUAGCUUAAAACCCAAAGGACUUGGCGGUAUCUCACACCCACCUAGAGGAGCCUGUUCUAUAACCGAUAAUCCCCGUUAAACCUCACCACCUCUUGCCAUUACCGUCUAUAUACCGCCGUCGUCAGCUCACCCUAUGAAGGAUAAAAAGUAAGCAAAAUGAAUAAAACUCCAAAACGUCAGGUCGAGGUGUAGCAAAUGAAGUGGAAAGAAAUGGGCUACAUUUUUUUACAAAAACAUAUACGAAUGGUAGACUGAAAAACACCUAAAGGUGGAUUUAGCAGUAAGAAGAGAUCAGAACACUCUUCUGAAAUCGGCCCUGAGAUAAGCACACACCGCCCGUCACUCUCCUUAAUAAACAACCUACUUUUCUAUAAACACACUCUCUUAAUAAGAGGAGGCAAGUCGUAACAUGGUAAGUGUACUGGAAAGUGCACUUGGAAU